rnacentral:rRNA from 2 species
CAAAAGAAGUAGGUAGCUUAACCUUCGGGAGGGCGCUUACCACUUUGUGAUUCAUGACUGGGGUGAAGUCGUAACAAGGUAACCGUAGGGGAACCUGCGGUUGGAUCACCUCCUUACCU